GUGCUUGCUUCAGUAGCACAGAUACUAAAACUGGGUACAGAAAAGAUCAGAAUGGCCCUGUGCAAGGAUGGUAUGCUGUACUGCAAUGUUCCAUAUAUUC
rnacentral:snRNA from 1 species